rnacentral:lncRNA from 1 species
AGGUGUGUACUUGUUGGCUUUUAGAGUGAAAAUUAGCCGGUAAGAUAAAAUAUUUUUUUUCGUUCGUUGUUAUAGUACGUUGGUUUUGAAUAAUUUCAGUACACAUAAUUAGUUCCUUAAAUUUUGAUACAAAAGCGAUUGAAGUAAUAGUCAAAAUGUCUAAUAUUUGUGAUGAAACCGAAAAUCAAAUAAAGUGCAAAUAUUGUGAUACUUGUUUUAAAUAUGUUAGGGAAAGAGAUUUGCACGAUAAAAUUUACAUCUAACAAUCAAGUGUCCAGAUUGUGUCAAAAUAUUCAGAACAGAUCAGCAGCUACAGAACCAUUUCAAAGAUAUGCAUUUUGUUCAAUGCCGAUCUUGUGGUAAAUCGUUUAAAUCUUUUGAGGAGAUGGGCCAUCACUAUAGAAUGGAACAUCUCACAACUGAAUGUUCAUUUUGCAAGGAAGUGUUCGGCAUUGGGGACCGCUGUUACAUGUUUCCUCAGACUCAGACUAAACUUUUGCUACUUGCCCGUAUGGUUCCGAACGGUUUAAGACCAACGAAGCCGUAACUUUGCAAAUCAAAGAGAAAUUCUUGACGUGAGGUGUCUAAAAGUAAAGAACUGGACGAAGGCAUAGCAGACACCAAGGGUU